GCAAUUGAAAAGUAAACGCAAUGAAGCUUAUCAAUGUAUAGUUCACAUGGAUAUGCUGGUACUCCCUGUAGGCGUUCGAUAUAUAGGCUGCGCUGCACGGGAAAACUGUGAAAGACCUGAGGAAAUUUAUACUUGCAUUGGACAUAUAAACAGAAGUAGUCAGCUAUAAAGGACUGAUGGCGAGUUCAUGCAAUACACAGGACGAACAGAUACCAGCAAAACUAGGAGAAAAUCAGAAGCAACCAAAUGAUUCGUCGCGCGGGAAACCGUGGCGGAAGUUGGCUAAAAUCCUGGAUCGUUUGAAAAAUGUAGUUUUAUUCGAGGCCUCCAAUAUGAUCGUCUUUGACGUCAGUGGUACGGAUGUUUAUACUGUGACAGAUGCAAUGCAAAGGACAUUAAAUAAAAGAUGUUGCAAUUCGUAGCACAGACGUUUUACAUGAAUGGGUCAUCUGCAAGAUUCCAAGUCUAUUGGAAAUAUUGAUAGACGAAAUUACUACAACGAAUAUGAUCAAUAUUGCAACAUUGGUUUAGAAUUUUCAGUACAGAGCUAAUUAUUUCAUUUAUUGUUACAAAAAACAUUCUCAACAGAAUAUAGGCCCUACUACUACUACUGUCAUUGUUUUUUUCUAUGAAAGGUGCAGGCCUUCAUAGUGGUAGGCAAACGAGACACCAAAAAUUAUCGAAACAAGUAUUAUAACUUUAUUUUCUUUAUUUUAGUGUUUGAAAACAAUAAUAUGGUAAUUUUAAUAAAAAAUUGGACAAAUAGAAACAAGCUUAGGGAGCACUGUUGUAGGCCGUAUGUUAGUGCAAUAACUUUGAGGUUACAACAGGCCCGAUUGUUUUAGAAUUUCCGAAUGAAUGUAUCGUUAUAUUAUCAAUUCUUAACGGAAUUUAUUGUAAAUCAUGACACAGUUUAGUUCCAGACCCUUGAAAUAUAAGGAUUCGAACUACAGGGACAAUCGAUUUGAAAGGCAAAUGCCUUAACAAUCUAAACCAUUGCUUAAUUUCCUGGACGUAAAAGCUGGAAAACAACUAAGCAGAAAAUAUUUUGAUUUCUGUAGGCCUAUUUGUACCCGAAAUCAUGCUGAUGAAUAAAUUUAGAUCCCUA